CAGGGAAGGUCUUUAUGUUUGAGCUUUCUCUCGGUUGUAUAUCGUGUGUGACAAACACAAACGUGCGGUUUCUCCAACACAGCUCAGUCGGAGUGGGUUGGCUGCAGAGUGUAGUUUUACACCUGUCCGCAGCGUCGUCUUCUCACUACACCAUUGUCCGGUGUGUGUGUGUGUGUAAAGAGCACAGGCUCUGCUUUAAUUAUGAUGUAAAGCAGCUCCACCUCAACGACACUGUUUCGCACGCACACACGCAACGUCGUUUCACUGCGCCACCGCGUUACACAAUGCGGUGCUCUUUCUUCCAUCCUCUACCUCCUAAUCCUGUUUGUGGAGCUGGAGCCAAUCCCAGGAGUCACCAGUCAAAGGCAGGGUACACUCAGUUGAACAGUUGACCAGUCCAUCACAGAACCACGUUUAGACAAAAAAAACAUUCACACUCACUGAGGUCAACUCAGAGUGUCCAAUUAACCUAAUCCACAAUCUGCAUAUUUUAGGACUGUGGGAGGAAACCAGAGAAACCACACACACACUGAGGGAACCUACAACUCCAUAGAGAACGACCAUCAUCUGUUAAAGCCAGUCAGGUGGGAUCUCCAUACGGACGCGGUUCAGUGCUGCUAUUCCUGCCAGAAGUAAAGCCACGCCGACCUACGAAGACACGACGGAAGAAGAAGGUGUAACAGUGACGGUGAGGACCCCCGGGAUGCCCCAGGCGCAGGCAUGGAAGAGGAGAGCCUUCUUUUCUAUUGCCUCGCUGCCCCAUUUGGGAACGGCAGCCAGGAACCAGGUGAUGGUCAAAAUCACCCACCACACGCUGCC